UACGUAGGGGGCUAGCGUUGUCCGGAUUUAUUGGGCGUAAAGAGCGCGUAGGCGGUCCGGUAAGUCCGCUCUGAAAGUCCGGGGCUCAACCCCGGGAGGCGGGCGGAUACUGUCGGGCUAGAGUCCGGAAGAGGCGAGUGGAAUUCCUGGUGUAGCGGUGAAAUGCGCAGAUAUCAGGAGGAACACCAAUGGCGAAGGCAGCUCGCUGGGACGGUACUGACGCUGAGGCGCGAAAGCGUGGGGAGCAAACAGG
rnacentral:rRNA from 1 species